rnacentral:tRNA from 1 species
GCGCCCGUAGCUCAGCUGGAUAGAGCGCGGGACUUCUAAUCCUGAGGCCGCUGGUUCGAGUCCAGCCGGGCGCACCA